AGUGAACGCUGGCGGUAGGCCUAACACAUGCAAGUCGAACGGCAGCACAGUAAGAGCUUGCUCUUACGGGUGGCGAGUGGCGGACGGGUGAGGAAUACAUCGGAAUCUACUUUUUCGUGGGGGAUAACGGAGGGAAACUUACGCUAAUACCGCAUACGACCUACGGGUGAAAGCAGGGGAGCUUCGGACCUUGCGCGAUUGAAUGAGCCGAUGUCGGAUUAGCUAGUUGGCGGGGUAAAGGCCCACCAAGGCGACGAUCCGUAGCUGGUCUGAGAGGAUGAUCAGCCACACUGGAACUGAGACACGGUCCAGACUCCUACGGGAGGCAGCAGUGGGGAAUAUUGGACAAUGGGCGCAAGCCUGAUCCAGCCAUACCGCGUGGGUGAAGAAGGCCUUCGGGUUGUAAAGCCCUUUUGUUGGGAAAGAAAAGCAGCAGGUUAAUACCCCGCUGUUCUGACGGUACCCAAAGAAUAAGCACCGGCUAACUUCGUG
rnacentral:rRNA from 1 species